rnacentral:rRNA from 1 species
AUAUUGGGCGUAAGCGGCGCGUAGGCGGUCUUUGUAACGUCCAGAGUGUGAAAGCUCGGGGCUCAACCCCGGAAGUGCACUUGAAACUGCAAGACUUGAGUACGGGAGAGGAGAGAGGAAUUCCUGGUGUAGAGGUGAAAUUCGUAGAUAUCGGGAGGAACACCGAUGGCGAAGGCAUCUUUCUGGACCGAUAUUGACGCUGAGGCGCGAAGGCGUGGGUAGCGAACGGGAUUAGAUACCCCGGUAGUCCACGCAGUAAACGUUGUACACUCGGUGUGGCGGAUAUUCAAAUCUGCUGUGCCUAAGCUAACGCAUUAAGUGUACCGCCUGGGAAGUACGGUCGCAAGGCUAAAACUCAAGGACUUGACGG